GUAAUACAAUAUUUUCAGGAAGUUUACCUGAGUCGGUAGCGAACCUUAGGAACUUGUCGCGUGUUGAACUUAGAGCUUGUAAUUUUACAGGUCCAAUUCCAUCUUCUAUGGAAAAUCUAACCCAGCUUGUUCUUCUGGAUUUCAAUUUGAAUAGCUUCACAGGUUCAUUUCCUUCUUUUAAGCUGUCCAAAAAUCUCACUGAUUUAAACUCGGC
rnacentral:misc_RNA from 1 species